CAGCCGUAAACUAUGCGCGUUAGGUGUACUGGUGACCACGAGUCACCGGGGUGCCGAAGGGAAACCGUGAAACGUGCCGCCUGGGAAGUACGGUCGCAAGGCUGAAACUUAAAGGAAUUGGCGGGGGAGCACCGCAACGGGAGGAGCGUGCGGUUUAAUUGGAUUCAACACCGUAAAACUCACCAGGGAAGACUGUUACAUGAAAGCCGAGAUGAAGACUCUGCUAGAUUUUCAGAGAGGUGGUGCAUGGCGUCAGUGACU
rnacentral:rRNA from 1 species